CAUGCUUGUGACAUCACUGCAGCCGAACUCUGCCUUGUAUAUGAGCCGCCUGCAUUUUGCAUAACAAGGGAGUGGCGCUCGUAGUGUCGGAGCCGGUUCGUAUCGGACAGGGAGGAAAUAGCAACAGCAGCAGGUGACGUAGGUGGGAUAUUGCGGCGAGAAGAUGGUCUGACUGAUCAUUAAUGCGUGCCGCUAUGUGGCCAAGAAGAUAACUUCCUCACACAGGGAGGAUGGAGAGGAGAAGGGAGCAGCCAGUGGUCCUGCCAAGUCUUCAUGUGUUCUGCAAUCAGGAUGCAAGAAAGGUGGUUCCACUCGGGCUUUUUCCCCUUCUCUCUCUGCCCCCCUGACUUCCAACCCAGAUGAGAGUUCCCCUUCCAGCUCAGCCAUCCAGACACGUGAUUCUGUUCCUUACUAACACCUCAAGGGGAUUUAUUUUACAAGAUGGUAUGUCAAGAGAAGGGGCAACACAGCAGAAGGAUGACCCCCCUGUCAGAAGCCUCUAACUUUAGAGGUUGAGAGGAGGUGAAGAAUAUAUCUGGUGUGUUGUAAAUAAAAAUAAAAAAAUUUGAAACCUA